rnacentral:rRNA from 1 species
UAACACAUGCAAGUCGCACGCAACUUCGGUUGAGUGGCGCACGGGUGCGUAACACGUAGGUAAUCUGCCCUGAAGUGGGGAAUAACCGCGAGAAAUCGUGGCUAAUACCGCAUAGUCUCAGCAAUGAGUAAAGCAGCAAUGCGCUUUAGGAGGAGCCUGCGGCCUAUCAGCUAGUUGGUGGGGUAACGGCCUACCAAGGCGACGACGGGUAGCUGAUCUGAGAGGAUGGUCAGCCACAGGGGAACUGAGACACGGUCCCCACUCCUACGGGAGGCAGCAGUGAGGAAUAUUGGGCAAUGGGCGCAAGCCUGACCCAGCAAUGCCGCGUGCGGGACGAAGGUCCUCGGAUCGUAAACCGCUUUUGUGGGGGAGUAGCAAGGAGAGUACCCCACGAAUAAGUCACGGCUAACUACGUGCCAGCAGCCGCGGUAAUACGUAGGUGACAAAUGUUAUCCGGAAUCACUGGGCGUAAAGGGUCUGUAGGCGGUCGCUUAGGUCUGAUGUGACAACUCGUGGCUUAACUGCGAGAAUGCAUUGGAAACCGGGCAACUAGAAUCACGUUGAGGUCGGUGGAAUUCCCGGUGUAGUGGUGGAAUGCGUAGAGAUCGGGAGGAACCUCGAAAGCGAAGGCAGCUGGCUAAACGAUGAUUGACGCUGAGGGACGAUAGCGUGGGUAGCAAACAGGAUUAGAUACCCUGGUAGUCCACGCCGUAAACGAUGUGUGCUCGGUGUGUGUGGGUAAAACCAUGCGCGCCUCAGCUAACGCGAUAAGCACACCGCCUGGGGAGUACGGCCGCAAGGCUAAAACUCAAAGGAAUUGACGGGGAACCCCCACAGCAGCGGAGCGUGUGGUUUA